GCUCAGGAUUUCAAGACUGAUCUGAGGUUCCAGAGCAGCGCUGUUGCAGCUCUUCAAGAAGCAGCAGAGGCUUACCUCGUUGGGCUAUUUGAGGAUACAAAUCUCUGUGCUAUUCACGCUAAGAGAGUUACUAUUAUGCCCAAAGAUAUUCAAUUGGCCCGAAGGAUUAGGGGUGAAAGGGCUUGAGACAAUUGUUAGUAUGUUUAGUAGAUCUGUGUCUUAGACAUCUGUUUUUAUCUCUAGCUUAAUUCGGCUCUUGUUAGAUCUGUUUGUUUUCCCUAAUAUUUGGGAAAAUCAAUUUGCAGUCGUGAUGGAAAUCUAAAGGCAAAGUGGUUUUGCUACAAAUUUUUUCUGUACCUUAAACUCUUGGCGAAUGCUUUAUGUUUUGAAUGAAUGCCUUUUAGCCUGUGUGAUAAGAUGCAACCAAGCCAAACUGCGAAUUACGAUUGGAGGGUUGAGAAUCAUUGGCAAUCCGCAGCUUUUGCAGAUACAAGGAUGUGCAGAGCUCAAUGAAUGAUAUAAGAGGUUCUUGGGACUAAAUGCUAAGGGUGGCACUUUCGAAUU
rnacentral:misc_RNA from 1 species